rnacentral:rRNA from 1 species
UACGGAGGGAGCUAGCGUUGUUCGGAAUUACUGGGCGUAAAGCGCACGUAGGCGGCUUUGUAAGUUAGAGGUGAAAGCCCGGGGCUCAACUCCGGAACUGCCUUUAAGACUGCAUCGCUUGAAUCCGGGAGAGGUGAGUGGAAUUCCGAGUGUAGAGGUGAAAUUCGUAGAUAUUCGGAAGAACACCAGUGGCGAAGGCGGCUCACUGGACCGGUAUUGACGCUGAGGUGCGAAAGCGUGGGGAGCAAACAGGA